rnacentral:rRNA from 1 species
GACGAACCACACAAACGUUAUUCGGAAUUACUGGGCUUAAAGGGUGCGUAGGCUGCGCAGCAAGUUGGGUGUGAAAUGCCUCGGCUCAACCGAGGAACUGCGCCCAAAACUACUGUGCUUGAGGGAGAUAGAGGUGAGCGGAACUUAGGGUGGAGCGGUGAAAUGCGUUGAUAUCCUAAGGAACACCCGUGGCGAAAGCGGCUCACUGGAUCUCUUCUGACGCUGAGGCACGAAAGCUAGGGUAGCGAACGGG